AGUGAACGCUGGCGGUAGGCCUAACACAUGCAAGUCGAACGGCAGCACAGUAAGAGCUUGCUCUUACGGGUGGCGAGUGGCGGACGGGUGAGGAAUACAUCGGAAUCUACUUUUUCGUGGGGGAUAACGUAGGGAAACUUACGCUAAUACCGCGUACGACCUACGGGUGAAAGCAGGGGAUCUUCGGACCUUGCGCGAUUGAAUGAGCCGAUGUCGGAUUAGCUAGUUGGCGGGGUAAAGGCCCACCAAGGCGACGAUCCGUAGCUGGUCUGAGAGGAUGAUCAGCCACACUGGAACUGAGACACGGUCCAGACUCCUACGGGAGGCAGCAGUGGGGAAUAUUGGACAAAGGGCGCAAGCCUGAUCCAGCCAUACCGCGUGGGUGAAGAAGGCCUUCGGGUUGUAAAGCCCUUUUGUUGGGAAAGAAAAGCAGCAGGUUAAUACCCCGCUGUUCUGACGGUACCCAAAGAAUAAGCACCGGCUAACUUCGUG
rnacentral:rRNA from 1 species